CCGAACACUCAUAAGUUUCAGCGAUCGCCACAGAGGGCGAAACAUCAACCGUGGCCCUUUCCAGCAAGGCGCACGGAAUGUGUCACUACUGGAAGUAACCUCAAGGGCCAUAAUCCUCACAAGGAAGACGAACAAAAGAUAGAUUAUUGGUCUCCGAACUGCCCAUGCCAAGCCAUAAGAAGCUCAAAAGUAGCCGUAACGACAAGUCCUCUUGAACUGCAGGCCUCACUAUGAACUGUUCGCAAUUUUACCAGAUGGGGAAGUGGGGGUGCUAUGCAGGAAAUCAGCAGAAUACAAUUUUGUACUACACCGAGCAAGAAUGUAGCAUACACUUCCUUUUUGAAGCCAUUUUAUGACAAAUAGAGAAAUAAACAUCUUGA